UACGGGGGAUGCAAGUGUUAUCCGGAAUAAUUGGGCGUAAAGCGUCUGUAGGUGGUUGACCAAGUCUGUUGUUAAAAAUCAGGGCUUAACCCUGAUCCGGCAACAGAAACUAGUAAACUUGAGUACGGUAGGGGCAGAGGGAAUUCUUGGUGUAGUGGUGAAAUACGUAGAUAUCGAGAAGAACACCAAUAGCGAAAGCACUCUGCUGGGCCGAAACUGACAUUGAGAGACGAAAGCUAGGGGAGCAAAAGGG
rnacentral:rRNA from 1 species